GGGGCCGUAGGGUAGCCUGGUAUCCUUCAGCCUUUGGGUGGCUGUGACCCCCGUUCAAAUCGGGGCGGCCCCA
rnacentral:tRNA from 1 species